GGUGCCUUCGGGGGACAGGGCCAGGCUGCGGUUUGCAGGGAGGGAGCGUAGGACCCGCAGCUCUGCGCCCGUCACCUCCUCUGCCUCGGGCAGGCUGGAGAUGUCAAAGAGCAAAUCUGCAGUUCCAGCGGGGCCGGAUAACGGGAUCCCUUCGCAGAGCUCACCCCGCAGCAUCUCCCCCCGCCCCGGCCCGGCUGCUCCCCCGCUGAACCUCAGUGCCGCUGCCGGGCAGAGUACAGAGGCUGCGGGAAUCCGGGCACAGAGGGAGCCGGGAGCAGCCGUUCCCUUCGGCUUCCCAUUGUAUUCCAUCUGGGGAUGGCAAGAGGGUCUGAUUUAAUUAUUUUUUUCACCCCGCGAAAAGUUUUGUCGGGACGACACAGUGCGUGUAAGCGCACAUGGGAGAAAAAAAGAAAAAAUAGAUCGA